rnacentral:rRNA from 1 species
CUACGGGGCGCUCCAGUGGGGAAUAUUGGACAAUGGGCGCAAGCCUGAUCCAGCAAUGCCGCGUGUGUGAAGAAGGCCUGCGGGUUGUAAAGCACUUUCGGUGGGGAGAAAGAGGCCAUUGAUAAUACUGAUGGCGGAUGGUGUUACCCACAGAAGAAGCACCGGCUAACUCUGUGCCAGCAGCCGCGGUAAUACAGAGGGUGCGAGCGUUAAUCGGAAUUACUGGGCGUAAAGGGUGCGUAGGUGGUGAUUUAAGUUAGGUGUGAAAGUCCCGGGCUUAACCUGGGGAUUGCGCCUGAUACUGGGUUACUAGAGUAUUGUAGAGGAAAGUGGAAUUUCCGGUGUAGCGGUGAAAUGCGUAGAUAUCGGAAGGAACAUCGGUGGCGAAGGCGACUUUCUGGACAGAUACUGACACUGAGGCACGAAAGCGUGGGGAGCAAACAGGAUUAGAUACCCUUGUAGUC